CCUACGGGAGGCAGCAGUGGGGAAUAUUGCGCAAUGGGGGCAACCCUGAUGCAGCGACGCCGCGUGAGUGAAGAAGGAUCUCGGGACGUAAAGCUCUAUCAGCAGGGAAGAAAAGGACGGUACCUGACUAAGAUGCCCCGCCUCUAACUACGUGCCAGCAGCCGCGGUAAUGCGUAGGGGGCAAGCGUUCUCCGGAUUUACUGGGUGUAAAGGGCGUGUAGCCGGGCGGACAAGUCAGGUGUGAACUCCCGGGGCUCAACCCCGGAACUGCAUUGGAAACUGUGAGGCUGGAGUGCAGGAGGGGCAAGCGGAAUUCCUAGUGUAGCGGUGAAAUGCGUAGAUAUUAGGAGGAACACCGGUGGCGAAGGCGGCUUACUGGACGGUAACUGACGGUGAGGCGCGAAAGCGUGGGGAGCAAACAGGAUUAGAUACCCGUGUAGUC
rnacentral:rRNA from 1 species